AGGAUGAGGAGAGGAGAGGAGAGGAGUUUCUUCACUCGUGGUCAACGCCAUAGUUCUCCCAGCAGUCAACAUUCCUGCUCGUGGUUGGCAACUAUGUCAACACUGCAUCGCUGUAUUUAUCGGCAGAGCUCCGUUUCAGUCUGCGGGAGGAGAUAUCAUCACCGGAGAGCAGAUAAGACAGGAUGAGUGGAAGAGGGUGAAACAGGAGGGAGGAGUUCCAAGAAAUGGAGCAGUGGAGAGGAGGAGAAAAUGGGGAGAAAGAGAACGAGGAACAGAAGGAGAGAAGGAAAUAGAUUUUCGGCCAAUGCCUGAAAGCCUUUUGAGUAACACGGUAUUACUAUGACCCUGUAUGCAAACUUUUCUGUUUCAGUCACCUCUCGUCUUGUGUCUCAUUCCUGUCUCUCCAUCGUUUCCUGUAUUUAUACCAACUUCAAGGAGGACUGAUAUCUUUUUAGUUUGGUGGUUUUGCAACAUAAAGGAAAAAGAAAAAGGAAGAGAAGAGGAACAGGGAAGCUCCACUUUGCAAAUGGAAAAACUUCCAAGGACAAUAAUUACAUUUAAGUCAUUAAAAUCCAAUUCCAACCAGCAGUAAUACCGUUUCCAUCCGAAUCGCCGCAAUUUUGUCUGAGUCCAGUUCAUAAUUGACCCGGAUUCCUAAUCCAAUGUGGAUUUGUGGGACGUUACAAAGUAGUAAAUCAUUUAAACGGUUUAGUUUUUGGCUCAACUGGAUGAAAAAGUUGGAAAAAAAGGGAAAGAGAAGACGAGGGAGGAGAGGAAUUAAUGCAAAAAUAAUGAAAAACUGGCUGUUUCACUCAAUUUAUGCAAUACACUGUGUUAUGGACUUCAUAGUACUCCUAUACAAUGCCCUCUUGACAUUGCUCGGCUGGUUUAAUAUGAUUCUCUGCACUCCUGUUGUUGUAUUUGUUGUAUUUCAUUUGUGUGUGUGAGCACAUCACCGACG